CAGAGGCCUGACUUGCCCCUCCAGGUUGUGGGAGAGAAGGGAUUCUUACACGUAUUUUCCUUUCCUUGCAAGCUUGGUGGGUGUGGGUUUUGGCAUCAGUCUGGGGGUGGUGUGUUGUUUGUGUGCCGGGGUAGGAGGACGCCUGCCUUCUUUGAAUUGCUGUGCAGGGGCCUGAACAUAGCAGGCAUUUGUGGGCAUAUAUGUGUGUGCACUGUGUUAGGGGUGUGUGUAUGUGAGCACUUGCCUGAACAUACAUGUGACAGGCAGGGCUCCCUCUGGGCCAGGCUGCUGUGCCCUAAACCUGGUGAACAAAUCUCUAACAACAAUCAUAAUAACAACAAAUAAUAAAUAAUAAUAAAAACAGUAGUUAACAGUCCCUCCCUAGUAGGAUACCAAUAAAUGCAAGAGGAGAUACUUUAAGGAGGGGACAGAGGAAGAAAUCACUAUCACAGCACUGGAGGGGAAGACAGGAAAGGAAGGAAGAAAGUUAGCUUCAUAUGCCUUUGAGAGGCUCAGGUUGGAAACCCUCUCCCCAAAGUCCUCAGGUCAGAGAAGAGAGAGCCAGGAGGCCACUCUUUUCCUGCUUGUUUUUCUCCAGCUUUUGCUUUGUUCCAUCAGGGAAGGGACCCCACAUAGGAGGUGGUCAGUGGCUUUGAGGACUGUCUGGGAGCCCCUGUUUUAAGGAUAAGGCCAAGCAUUCAGAGUCAGGCUGAGGGGCAGGAUGAAUGAGAUGAUGACCACAGCCCCAUGCUCACCGGCCAGAGGGUUGGGGCGGCAGAGGUUCGGGAAGGUCCCAGCCUGAGCCCCGGCUGGGAUGGAAGCAGAAAAACAUUUGUGGCUACCCGGGAGUGGGGAGAGCCAGGCUGGGGCUCCAGUAGGCACAGAGAAAGUUGCCUUUCGAAGGUCUUAAAAAAGAAGAAGAAGAAAGAAAAGAAAGAAAGAAAGGAUUGAGGCGCCUUGAAUUUUUCUUCUCAAGCUUGGAGCCUAGCUGAUUUCUGAUUUUGGUAAAGGAAGCAAAGACCACAGUGCCCGGAUCCUGCGACAGCCAUCUCGAUUUCUCCAGGCCUCUCCACUUGCCAGAGCUCUCAGCAACCCGGAAACUGAUGGAAGGGGCUUCUGGGCUGCGUUGGGAACGGACACUGCCCCCACCACCACUCCUACAUGGUUUCUUUUCCAAAGUCCAGCGACCUCCAGCUCUCCUUGGGGAGGGGCAGAGGGGAUAGCAGUACCCAGACACCUCAGCUUCUUGCUAUAUGUGACCUGACUGGGCUUGCUUCAGGAAUAUCUUACAAAGGAGAAGAAAGACCAGCUUGGAGCCGUGUUUACAUCUAGUUCUACUGAUCCAUUCACAUCUGGAGAGUUUAUUUAUAACUCUCUCUAUAACUCUCUCUGUUUGGAGGCAUUGGUGGCUCUAUUGACAGACUGAUGUCUAGAAAAUAUUGCUUUGUUUCUUACCAUACCUAAAUAUGCUGUGGUUGUAUUUGCAGAUUUAUGAUUGAGGAAAAUAUAAUUAUUUCCAUUGUAUUUGUACAUAUACAAUAGUUACAGGAGAUUUAUAUAUGGGAAAAUAGAUGACUCUGUUAUAGCCAUACAGCUUUAUGGACAUUUGAUAUUCUGACAGAUUUAUAUCUCUGAAUAGCUAUAUAGAUAAAUGUAUAUUGUUAGAAUUAUGUAUCAGGAGAUAGAUACUUAUUGAUUGUGAUAUAGAGUAGUUAGAACAUUCACUGAGAGCCAUAUAUGGCUAUGGAGAUAUUUCUAUAUUAUUAGCACUAUAUAUAAGCAUAUCUGUUUAUAACUACAUAGUUAUAAAAAUACACGUAAGUAAUUAUAGUCCUAUAUGUGCAUGUU